AUUUUGUACCUGCCAUAGUAAGAUGACCCCUAUUCUUAAGAAUACAUAAUAGAUGAUAUUGUAGUUUUAUGAAAUUAGCUUUUACUUCUUUCCAUUGAUUGCUACAGAUUUUGGGAGAACACUGUUGUCCAUGUUAUAUCAUAUACUUCCAAAUUAUAAAGUGUUCUUGUUGUAUGUAAGUUACCUAUUAUCCACAGAAUACAAGUAGUGGUUCAGAACUACAGAGAAAAGUCUAAGAUAUUCAUCGUUAUUUCUCCAGUAAGAUACCCCCCUUCGUUAAUACUGCCCUAUUCCUUUUCCCCUUUUCACGAAAGUGGAAGGAGUGAUGAAGAACUGAAACAUAGUUAUAGUGGGCGUUUUUUAUAGGAACAAACUUAAGAAUUUGACAUUAACAUAAUUGUAGUACUAAUUCAGGUGUCCCUGGUUUUAUUACCACUAGAACAUGUUGACCUAAUUGUCCAUGGUUACACUCAUUUUCAAAUGGCACAACUUGUCUUGUUGCCACAUCUUCAAAAUCGUUAAUAGGCUACUAGCAAUACCAUUGUAUUUGUCAAUUUUGUACCUGGCAAAGUAAGAUGACCCUUAUUCUUAAGAGUACAUACCUGAGAAUAUUGUAGUGUUAGGAGAUUAUCUUUUACUUUCUUCCAUUGAUUGCUACAGAUUUUGAGAGAACACUGUUGUCCACGUUACAUCGUAUACUUCCAAAUUAUAAAGAGUUCUUGUUAUAUGUAAGUUCCCUAUUAUCCACACAAUCAAAGUAGUGGUUCAGGACUACAGAGAAAGAAAGCACCAAUAACUUGUUUUUUCAUUUCUUUUUGGUGAUAAAACUGGAUUUUGCUUUUACAUGAUCAUGUGUCGGUGCCUUUGUCUCUAUCAAAUAUUAGGGGUAAUGAAUUUUCCUGUACUGGAUCAACAUGCAGAUCAUGCCCACCUUGAAGUCAUAAAUCCAGUGAAGUCAAUUUCAGUAUAUUCAGGACAUAGCCAGUAGCUUAGGAAUUUCCACGAGUAUGUUAUGUUUACAAUAAAGUUGUGUGCAAAAUGUAUAUGCUACAAUAUGCAUGAUUCUCUCUUUUAUCAAAUUAUAUCCAUGUGUUUAUAUUGUCAUCCCGUUGCAAUGCACGAGGACCUUCGAUUUGAUUCGGUUUUAUGUUCUACUACAAAUAGGGAAAUGUGGACGCUGUAUAUCCAUUUCUUAGGUGUCAAUCUAGUACUUACUCGAAUGCACCGAUACGGAUACGUGUAUCAGUAUCGGGCCAAUACGGAUACGUAAAUUCGUCAUUUUAAAAAAGUGUCAAUACGGAUACAUUGUAGGUACUCAAAGCAAUCUGGAGGAGAUGAGAAUGAUAGAUCUUCAGAGAUCAGAGAAGAAAGAAGAGGAGAUGAGCUUGGCUAGGCAGGAGAAAUGGAGAAGAGAAGUGUCCAUACAUGGAUGUUACGUGAGAGGGGAUGUUGGUGAGUAGGAGGAGGAGCUCGUCGCUGGCUAGCCGCCACUGCUGCUGGCCCUAGGACCUGGGUGAGCAGCCGCUGGCGACACAACCGCCGUCUGGUGUGAGCAUGGGAGGGAGAAAAGACGCCGUGAGGGGAAGGAUGGGGGCAUCGGGGCACUAGGGUUGCUGGUUGCUUCUUAACUGGGCUGAGCGGGCUCUUACCUGAGCUGGAAAAGUAUCCAAAACGUACUGGCGAAGUAUCCUUAGAGUAUCAUAAUUGUUUUAAAUCAUUUAUUCUUGGAUACUCCAGCGAUACAUAUCAGGGGCGUAUCGGAGAAGUACGGUAUCGGAUAUGGUAUCCGAUACGGAUUCGCUGGUCGGCUGAAGUAUCCGUGCAUUCGAGGGUACUUAGGCUGUAUAAUACAGGACAGAGUUCUUCCAACUACUAAUUCACGUAAUCUGAUUUAUAGCCUAGGUACUUUUCUUUAAGCAUAAUUACCUAUUCGACGGUGACCAACCAUCCGUCACACGCGCCAUACAAACAAUUCGGGAGGAGGCCCGCUUGUGAGCAUGCGCCGGCGCCAAAGGCCUCAGCGAUCAUCAUCCCAGAGAUGCAGUCCUGGUCCAUCGUGUGAGGCACUUCCACAGAGAUCCAUGCAUCGAGGCAGCUUACUCAUGCCAUCCAUGCGCACAUGCUUGUAGGCGGUCUUUUGUUGUUGCGGUAUAUAUCCUGUAACAACUAAACCCUGUAUUUUCACACUCCCCUAUCAAUGCAAUAAUAUGCAAGGAUUUUGCAUAUUCGUGAAAAAAGGACAUUGCCAUAUAUGAAUGUAUGAACAAAAAAGGAGGUAAAAUAAUGAUUUCACAUACGCACUUUCCCUACAACCUAUGUCAAGGGUACCGACUGUAGUAAAAGCUGGGGCUCUAAUCAACAACAAGGAUCUUGUAAUGGUUUCCUGUUGGUUUACCUGGUGGGAGUGUGGAAGCAUUUUCAUGAUAAAAAAGGGACCGCCUUGCAGACUCAUCGAUGAGCAUGAGGACUAUAGUUGCAAACUCCAUUGCUCUGGGAGGAUCGAGCACCGGCGCCAAGUUCAUAACUGGACUUGACCUGCGUCCAGCAGUGUGAACCUCAACAAGGACACUUUGUUUCAUAUUGAUGGAGGCAACGAGGCCCUGCGGGCUAUUCUUCAUGACUCAUUUGGGGGCUUCGUUGUUGCUUCAUGCAGGUAGAAGUAAAAAAGAAUUGGACAUCCACUUCCUUGCGAUGGAGAGGCUCAAUGAAAAUUAUGCAAGCCAUGAAGAACCCAUCAGAGUACCACAGUUCAGGGGCGGUUGUCACUUAUUGCUGGAAUUUGAUGACAAACUUUGGCAGGGCGAGGAUUAUGCAUGCAGUGUGGGCGAAAAGCAAAUGUAGCUUCCAUGAACUUGCUCCUUUUUUUAUUGAGAAGGCCUAGGAGGUCUUGCGGGAUCACCCCCCUUAUUUAUCGGUUCCAGUUCUUGUAAAGAAUAUGGUAAUAAUUCAAACAAAGUAGCCAAAGUAAAAAAAAUAAUAAGGAUCUUCGGUUGUUGAAAAAACAUUAAGGAUUUGCACAUUUGUUCUUGUAUUCACCAUGAAGUGAAAUGUACCACAAAGGGACAUUUUAACUUGUUUUAUUGAGAGGGCAUGAGAGGUCUAGAGGGACUACCCGUGAUAAUGCAAAAUGUGUACUUUUAUAUAUGUUUGUUUUUAGAGAGUAUGAGAGAAAUGGAAAUAGAUUAUUUUGAUGUUAAAAAAGAAUCCAUCGACAAGGGUCCAUAGGCAAUGUCUUUGAAAGGGGCUAAAAAUUCUUUGAGUUUUAUACAACAAUACACUAAAAGGCCUAUGGUAAUGGGCGGGCAUCUAACAUACUAAAAUGAACUUUUACUUUGAAGACGAUCUUAAUUAUUUAUUUGAUUUAUUUAUAUGCAUUGUAGCCCGUAGCAACACCUGAUCCAAUGGGCUUAAGUCUUAAGAAACUACAGUGCAUACUUAACAUGGAGCAGAUUAUGGACAAUGAUUGCUUCAACACCGCCGUGCAUAUACUGGCGUGUGACGAGGGAGUAUUGUUCACAGACCCUCUUAUACACUACAUGGAUCUAAGAUUUUGUGUAAGUUAUUGUGACUCUGCAUUCUAUGUGGCAUUAGUAUUAACAUGCUGAAGCAAUAUUUAUUUUUUUACUUAGUCCAUGAUGCUAGAGUCAACAAGAGGUCAGAAGUUUUGCGAGAAGGAAACUAUCCAGACGUUGGCAACAUUAUUUGAUAGCUGGCCUGGGAUGGACAACAACAUCUCAUCGUGCAACAUGGUAAGUAAAGUAUUUUGUCUAUUGUUAUCAUGGUUUAUUGUUGUUUCUAAUAGCUCCACUUGUAGAUUUAUUUUCCCUAUGCAUCCAUCGGCCGAUACAUCUUGUACGGGAUCGACAAAGAGGCACGUCGGAUAUAUAUUAUGGACCCUAUUCAAACAUCACAACCGUAAGAGGGUAAAAAUUUGAGACAUGCACUGAAAUUAAAAACUUUUCCAAGGGAUUUCAAAGAAGCACUCGAAAUAAAGCUGCCUGGUUGGAAUUCCGAUAUCUAAAUGGCGACGUUUAUUUCCGUUUGGUAUUCCAAUGAGUGUAGACGGGUAAUGAAUUCAUAAUAAAAUAAAUAUUUAUUUUUGUUAUCACUAUAUUCUUUACAUUAUUAAUUUAAAAUAUUGCAGGAAUGUGUCUGGCUAUUUUGGUUUUCAUUUUAUGCUUUGGUGGAACAGUAUAGAAUUGGUCAAGCCGGUUUGCGUGGUAAGUAUUGUCCGUUACCUGUUUUAAGACCUUCGGCGUGAAAUUUGCAUACUAACUACAUAUAUUGUUUGUGCAGAAUGAGUAUGAGUUGAGGAAGCAAUUUUUAUUAUACCUGCUAAAACACAGUGGGAAUGAAGCUAAAGAAAACUUUCCUGAUAUUGUUAAAGAAUUUCUUAAGCGCAUCAUCUAGAUAUUGAUAAUUUUGUAAUAGAUGUUUAGCUGGAACAUCGCUCAGUUUGUUACAUGGACAUGUCGUUAGUCUUUCGUUUUGUUGUCAAUUUUCAUUGCAAAAUGGACUUCAAUUAUUCAGUAAUUGUGUUUGUGUUAUAUUGUUUGUGCAUGUGAAAUUUAACAUGUAACUAUUGUAAACUUUUUCAAGAGCCCGUGGCAAAGGCACUCUACUAGUUGGGUUAAUUAAUGGGAUAUUGUGUACAGUUAAUCUCAUUCUCAUGAUAGUCUAACCUCUUUUUGUAUUACGUCUACCUAGUGGUUAUAUUAAUAGUUUUCAGGUUAAUACAUUAUUGGGCGUACCUAGAUGUCAGUCAGCUGAAUUUUUGGGGGGUUGGUCGAUUUUGUGAACCGUCGGAUGCGAAAUCAACGGCUCACAACCUUUCUUCAACCUUCCGCACAUCUCCUUCCUCAUGUCACCAGCUACCACCAGCCUAACUGCCGCCCCCGCCGCCGACGACUACCUCGCUCUCCCUUGAACCACCCCCACAAUCAUUCUUCCGUCAUCCUGGCCAUCCCUCAGGCCCCACACCCCUCGCAUCGAGUUUUUUCUCCACUGAAACCACACUAUAAUCAAAACCACCGCCCCCACCCUGAACCUUACGAUGGAUAAUGGGAUGAUGAUGCUGAGCCCCUUCCUUCUCUCCAACGAGACCCUUCCCUUCUCUUUCCUUCAUUAAAAAAUCAACUGCCCUGUAUUUGAAAUUCAGCUGACUGACAUGUAGGUAAACUGUACAUUAUUAGGGGCUAAUUGGGUUAGAUUGUUACAACUUUUAGAACCAGUUCCACCAAAAUUGAUACUAGGGUACUAGUAGUACCAUUGUCUUUGUCAAUUUUGUACCUGCCAUAGUAAGAUGACCCCUAUUCUUAAGAAUACAUAAUAGAUGAUAUUUUAGUUUUAUGAGAUUAGCUUUUACUUCUUUCCAUUGAUUGCUACAGAUUUUGGGAGAACACUGUUGUCCACGUUAUAUCAUAUACUUCCAAAUUAUAAAGCGUUCUUGUUGUAUGUAAGUUACCUAUUAUCCACAGAAUACAAGUAGUGGUUCAGAACUACAGAGAAAAG
rnacentral:lncRNA from 1 species